GGGCGUAAAGGGUGCGUAGGUGGUCUUUCAAGUCGGUGGUUAAAGGCUACGGCUCAACCGUAUUAAGCCGCCGAAACUGGAAGACUUGAGUGCAGGAGAGGAAAGUGGAAUUCUCAGUGUAGCGGUGAAAUGCGUAGAUAUUGAGAAGAACACCAGUAGCGAAGGCGGCUUUCUGGACUGUAACUGACACUGAGGCACGAAAGCGUGGGUAGCAAACAGGAUUAGAUACCCUGGUAGUCCACGCCGUAAACGAUGAGUAUUAGGUGUCGGGGGUUACCCCCCUCGGUGCCGCAGUUAACGCAUUAAAUACUCCGCCUGGGGAGUACGCACGCAAGUGUGAAACUCAAAGGAAUUGACGGGGACCCGCACAAGUAGCGGAGCAUGUGGUUUAAUUCGAAGCAACGCGAAGAACCUUACCUAAGCUUGACAUCUCUCAGAUCGGUAGUUAAUCCUACCUUCCCUUCGGGGCUGAGAUGACAGGUGGUGCAUGGUUGUCGUCAGCUCGUGUCGUGAGAUGUUGGGUUAAGUCCCGCAACGAGCGCAACCCUUGUCUUUAGUUGCCAGCAUUAAGUUGGGCACUCUAGAGAGACUGCCAGGGAUAACCUGGAGGAAGGUGGGGAUGACGUCAAAUCAUCAUGCCCCUUAUGCUUAGGGCUACACACGUGCUACAAUGGGUGGUACAGAGGGUUGCCAAGCCGCAAGGUGGAGCUAAUCCCUUAAAGCCAUUCUCAGUUCGGAUUGUAGGCUGAAACUCGCCUACAUGAAGCUGGAGUUACUAGUAAUCGCAGAUCAGAAUGCUGCGGUGAAUGCGUUCCCGGGUCUUGU
rnacentral:rRNA from 1 species